rnacentral:lncRNA from 1 species
UUGGCAAGGUGCGCUUCAGUUGACCAGGGAGCAUGGUAGGCGCGCGCUUCAUGACCUCAUGAUCUGCCAGCUCAAUUAAUGAGCUCAGAUCAAACAGUCCACGCAUUUUCCUAUUUUCUACUUUUUGAUUUUAAUUCUUUUAUUUCUUUUAAUUCCAUUUCUUUUUAAAAAUUCAUAUCUCUCUCAUUAUUGGUCCAAAAAUUAUGAGACCAAUUUCAUUUUCCUCCUUUUAAUUUCUACUUUCUAAAAAUGAUUUUUAA